AUUUCCCCCUUGGGGUACCAUUUUGGGAUAUUUUCCUAUGAGCGUAGUCUAGGCGGUAAGCAUUGACAAUUUAAGGAAUUAGAAAGGGAAAAUGAACUUAAUUAAUAGCAUUUGAUAAACAUGGUAUAUAAAUUACCAAUUUGAAGACAUAACAGGUUUAAAUUCAUAAAAGUUUGACCAUUGUUACUACACGUUGUCAUGGUUGUGACGUGACGUUGUAAGUAGGCGGGGCUUAUAGGUGAGUUGAGGUCAUUGACGUAUAAAGCUAACGUUUAUACGUAUAGCUUUAUCUGUAUAGUAAAAUAGCUGAUUGCAGUAUAAAUGAUAUUAUUGGUAC
rnacentral:lncRNA from 1 species